CACUUAAGGUUUUUAACAUUAAGGAAUGGUUUUGAUAAUGUAGAUGGACACAUGACGUUCUACUUUUACGUUCAUGACGUGUAAUUACCUUGUCUUUUUUAUCGCUUAAUUUUUUAUCGUUUUAUGCUGCUAUAUUGGUGAAACACUGCUCAUAUGUCCCUAUGUAGUGGUUUACCUUUUUUUUUUUUACUGCAUUCAAACUGUGACCCCCCCCCCAAUGGGAGCAAGGAAGAAUUAAAAUGGUACACAAGAGCAACCAACAGCACAGAUAGAAACAGCGUACUAGAAAAUGGUGUGGCCGGGUAUUACUUACAUUUGACAGAAAAAAGCAAGUGGCAUUUAAAGUGGCUGCAGAUAGGCUGGAUUCCAAUCUGGCUCAUCAGUGGGUUUUGAAACUGUUGUUGCUAUGCAUUUGAAGUGUUCUGGAAUGUAUGUUCAUCCUCCGAGGUCUUGCUUAUGAAUCCUCACUACCAAAUUCAGUGGAUCAAUGAAAUAAAAAACAUGGUUGAUUCCUAGAGGGUCUUUGGAUAGGGGAAAAACCCUCAAGUGAUCAUGAUAACAUAAAAUGAUAAGGCAGAGGGCCUUCUUGGUAGUGGCACCCUCCCAUCAGAUGUCAAGGAGAUGAAUAACUAUAUAACCUUUAGAAGACAUCUGAAAGCAGCUCUGCAUAG